ACGGAAGGCAGCAGUGGGGAAUAUUGGUCAAUGGGGGCAACCCUGAACCAGCGACGCUGCGUGAGUGAAGAAGUAUUUCGGUAUGUAAAGCUCUAUCAGCAGGGAAGAUAAUGACAGUACCUGACUAAGAAGCACCGGCUAAAUACGUGCCAGCAGCCGCGGUAAUACGUAUGGUGCAAGCGUUAUCCGGAUUUACUGGGUGUAAAGGGAGCGUAGGCGGUAUGGCAAGUCUGAUGUGAAACCCCGGGGCUCAACCCCGGGCAUGCAUUGGAAACUGUCGGACUAGAGUGUCGGAGAGGAAAGCGGAAUUCCUAGUGUAGCGGUGAAAUGCGUAGAUAUUAGGAGGAACACCAGUGGCGAAGGCGGCUUUCUGGACGAUAACUGACGCUGAGGCUCGAAAGCGUGGGGAGCAAACAGGAUUAGAUACCCUGGUA
rnacentral:rRNA from 1 species